GUGGGGAAUCUUGCGCAAUGCGCGAAAGCGUGACGCAGCAACACCGCGUGAGGGAAGACGGCCUUCGGGUUGUAAACCUCUUUCAGGAGGGACGAAGGGUGACCGGUGAACAGCCGUGUCACUUGACGGUACCUCCACAAGAAGCACCGGCUAACUACGUGCCAGCAGCCGCGGUAAUACGUAGGGUGCAAGCGUUGUCCGGAAUCAUUGGGCGUAAAGCGCGCGUAGGCGGCCCGAUAAGUCCGCUGUAAAAGUCAACGGCUCAACUGUUGAAAGCCGGUGGAUACUGUCGGGCUAGAGUACGGAAGAGGCAAGUGGAACUCCUGGUGUAGCGGUGGAAUGCGCAGAUAUCAGGAAGAACACCUAUAGCGAAGGCAGCUUGCUGGGACGUUACUGACGCUGAGGCGCGAAAGCGUGGGGAGCGAACAGGAUUAGAAACCCCAGUAGUCC
rnacentral:rRNA from 1 species